GUAAUAAUCCUGUAGUCGAAAAUGUUGUCUCUCUUGAGUGGAUCCUGAGUACGACGGAGCACGUGAAAUUCCGUCGGAAUCUGGGAGGACCAUCUCCUAAGGCUAAAUACUCUCUAGUGACCGAUAGUGAACCAGUACCGUGAGGGAAAGGUGAAAAGCACCCCGGAAGGGGAGUGAAAUAGAACCUGAAACCGUGUGCUUACAAGUAGUCAGAGCCCGUUAAUGGGUGAUGGCGUGCCUUUUGUAGAAUGAACCGGCGAGUUACGAUUUGAUGCAAGGUUAAGCAGUAAAUGUGGAGCCGUAGCGAAAGCGAGUCUGAAUAGGGCGUUUAGUAUUUGGUCGUAGACCCGAAACCAGGUGAUCUACCCUUGGUCAGGUUGAAGUUCAGGUAACACUGAAUGGAGGACCGAACCGACUUACGUUGAAAAGUGAGCGGAUGAACUGAGGGUAGCGGAGAAAUUCCAAUCGAACCUGGAGAUAGCUGGUUCUCUCCGAAAUAGCUUUAGGGCUAGCCUCAAGUGAUGAUUAUUGGAGGUAGAG
rnacentral:rRNA from 1 species